GUACUUGCUUCGGCAGUACAUAUAUUAAAAUUGGAACGAUACAGAGAAGAUUAGCAUGGCCCCAGGACGUUUUUUUUGUCUGUGUAUUAUUUUCUUUAUUU